rnacentral:lncRNA from 1 species
UGAUGCUCUUCAUGAACGGCGUCGUGGAUUCGGCGUGAACAAAGGCGGUUCGUGGAUUCGGAUCGUUGGCUCGUGGAUUCGAGUGGCGUCGUGGAUUCGGCGUGAUUGAAGCUUCGUGGAUUCGAAGUGGAGGCGUUCGUGGAUUUGAACGUGAUGGCGUGGACAACCCGGAGGGUAGCGCGAAGAUUCAUAGGAGGUUAAGAGAGGUUGAGUCCGUGGAGUCAGUAAUCACCUUGUAAUCUUUUCUCUUAGUGAAUUAUUUUUUCGCGUGUUGGUCCCGUGGAUUUUUCUCCAAGUUGGAGUUUUCCCACAUAAAUCUCGGUGUGCUUUUUAUUUUCCGCAUUUAUUUUUAUUGCAUCGAGAUUUGUGGUUUUUGGCCGUUCACCUAUUCACCCCCCUCUAGGUGAUAGAUACAAUCUAGAUAGAUCCUUGGGCUCCUCAAAACUUUCAGUAGACACUUGCAAUCGGGCUCCCGCAGCACACGUCGCCCGGUUUGGCUCGAAUUCGGACUCGAACUCAAAAUCGACCACCGAACGCUUACCGAAUUCCAACCUAGAGUUGUCUGGAGCUCUCCUCUAUCCUUCAAUUAGAGAAUUAGGAGAUCGGUUAGGUUCAAAACCCUUAAAAGCCAAAACCCCCAAUUUGCAAACCCUAGUUUUCCCAUAUCCCCUAAAGUCAUCCCAAAUCCAUGGAGGAACAUGUUUAACUAUCUUUAGAACCAUCUAGGGAUCUCUAGAACAUAAUUCUUUAAGGAUUUACUCAAAACCCUAAACUCUUAACCAAACGUGAACCUCGAGUCGGAGGCGCGUCGAACCACCAAGCGCCCGAGGGUUUGAUCCACCGCUCUCUACGCGUUCCCGAGCUCACUCUCUACCAAAACCCCAAGUUUGGGAGAGAUCAAGAGAAAGUGAGAAGAGAUUAAGGGAGAGAAAAGGCUCCCUCUCUCACUUUCUCUCACAACAAAUGUGUGUGUGGGUGUGUUUUGGCUGAGGGAGAAGAGAGGAGGGUCCCCUUAUAAAGCCCCCCUCAAGCAAAAUUACCAAAAUGCCCCUUAAAUAGGGCAGUUUUCGGGCGGNGGCGUGGACAACCCGGAGGGUAGCGCGAAGAUUCAUAGGAGGUUAAGAGAGGUUGAGUCCGUGGAGUCAGUAAUCACCUUGUAAUCUUUU